AUAAAGGCCCAGACAGGGUUAUUAAUGAAUGCAGUGGAAGCCCACGAACACAGUAACAUCAUCGCCCAAACUUGCAAGACGCCCAAAAUUUGAGCGAAUGGAGCGCCUUACAGUCGCCCAGAGCGAUGACCCUGUUCUCGCCCAUACCUUCGAAUCGCCCAGGAUCUUAGCAAACAUAAAAUGUUAUGAUUAUCCAGAAAUGCAGUUAUUGAGUAACCUUAUCACAUUCCACGAUUCAAGGAACCCAGUUGAAGGCGGUUGAACGACAAAGAGUAGUGGUAGUAGUUAGAGACGGCAGUUCCACGACAAGUUAGCCACCAUAAAGAAAGUGGGUAGUUAUAAAGCAAUCAAGCAGUUUCCAAGCGGUUUGUCAUGAAGAAAUCAUCAAGGGAAUAUAAAAGGAAGAGAAGACAUAGAGAGAAAGGACCCAAAAUCAAACACUCUCAAACAGAGAAUAUGUAAUUUCAAUUUCUUAGUUUAAACUUAAACAUUUCUUUCAGUACUCUGUGCUUGCGCCCCCUUGGAGGCAUUCUGUUUAGUUCCAAUUGUAAAUCAUCACCAAUAAAACACCCCCUUUUGAGAUCUUGUCUCAAAAGAUUUGUUCCUUACACAAUCGUUUGAUCCCUUUUUAAUUGUUAGCGACUACCUGCGUGAAAUAGUUUCCUUCUCCUCUACUAAUGUUUUCGAUUGUAUGCAAAAUUUGCCACUUUUUUUGUACACAAUCAUAAACAUAUAUCACAAUUUCAGAUUCAAAAGCACGUACAAAUACAAGAGAAUCUUGGACAGCUCCAAACCAUACAUCGUACUCAAACUUCACAUCAACAGUUGUUUUAUUCGGUCCCUUAAUGAUUCUAGCACGACGCCUUUCCAGGUCAAAAGCAAGAAUGCUGCCAUCGUUUAUAAGCCAAUUCAUAGAGUUACGCAAGAAAAUAGGUAGAGCGUUUCUAGUUAGAAAAGUAGGUAGUUCACAAACGAGUUCUUCUUCAUGGGCUUCUUCCCACAUGCACGAACUUGAAGUAAAUGUCAUGAAUUUAAACACUUUCUUCUCCCAAUUGGUAAGGUUUUGUUUCACGUCAACAGCUACUAAUCUAUACGAUUGAGUGCUUGAAUCCACAGCCAAACCAAUCGGGCCACCAUGUUGGUUGUUGGGCACAAGUUGAAAUUCUCCCGUAAUAGGGUUGAAUACACCAUAGGUAUUAUGUAUUUCAAAAGUGAAGUAAAAGAAGUCCACUACAAGAUGCCAUGACUGGAACCAGAAUGGGUAGGUUUUCAUAAAUAUCGAGUUAAUUGGAAAGGUUGGGAGGGUCGAGUCGAACUUUGCCAAAAAUCUUGGGAUAUUUUUCCGAGCAGUGAAGAACUGUACAGAUUUUUUGAAUUGAUUGAACAAAGUGUUUGCAUUCUUGAUGAGGGAUAUAGGCAUGAAUAUCCUCGCUUAGAGACUUGCAUCGAAUCGCUUCUUUUAGGGGCAUACGCGAGAUCACUUCAAGAACCAUGUCAUCUUUCAAGUUUCUCAUGGUUCUAGAAUUGAAUAUAAUACUUCCAGAAUUCUG
rnacentral:lncRNA from 1 species